AGCUGCAAAACGGCGCAAAAGCGGCCGUAAUCUUGAAAACCGGCGUGCGGGAAACCGUACCGUGGGUUCGAAUCCCACCUCUUCCGCCA
rnacentral:tRNA from 1 species